rnacentral:rRNA from 1 species
CCUACGGGUGGCUGCAGUGAGGAAUAUUGGUCAAUGGCCGAGAGGCUGAACCAGCCAAGUCGCGUGAGGGAUGACGGCCCUACGGGUUGUAAACCUCUUUUGUCGGGGAGCAAAGCGAACCACGUGUGGUUCCUUGAGAGUACCCGACGAAUAAGCAUCGGCUAACUCCGUGCCAGCAGCCGCGGUAAUACGGAGGAUGCGAGCGUUAUCCGGAUUUAUUGGGUUUAAAGGGUGCGCAGGCGGUGGUGCAAGUCAGCGGUCAAAUUUCGGGGCUCAACCCCGUACUGCCGUUGAAACUGCAUCCCUUGAGUGCGCGAGAGGUAGGCGGAAUGCGUGGUGUAGCAGUGAAAUGCAUAGAUAUCACGCAGAACUCCGAUUGCGAAGGCAGCAUACCGGAGCGCAACUGACGCUCAUGCACGAAAGCGUGGGUAUCGAACAGGAUUAGAUACCCCAGUAGUC